rnacentral:misc_RNA from 1 species
UUUCCGUAGGUGAACCUGCGGAAGGAUCAUUAUUGUAUAACCGAGAUGCGAGGGCUGUCGCUGACCCGAAAGGUCGUGCACGCCCGAGUGCCCUCACACACAUCCAUCUCACCCCUAUGUGCACCACCGCGUGGGUCCCCCUUUGGCUUGUUCGGAGGGGGGCUUACGUUUUCACACAAACUUUGUAUGCAGUGUAGAAUGUAUUUUUUGUUUUUGCGAUCACGCAAUCAAUACAACUUUCAACAACGGAUCUCUUGGCUCUU